GAUCUCCUAGCUCAGUUGGUAGAGCAACGCCCUUUUAAGGCGUGGGUCCUGGGUUCGAGCCCCAGGGGGAUCACCA
rnacentral:tRNA from 3 species